UGAAAUGUAUUCGAAUGAAUAAUUCUAUAAUGAUGUGUUAAAGACUAUAAUCCAAUACUGUGUGUGAGUAGGUAGACUUUUUAAGACUAGGACACUGUUACUAUUUCAAAAUGAGCAGGGCAUAGUUGAUAAGACGACCUUGUGAAAGUAACAGGAAAAGGGGCCUGUCCCUGUCGUCCAAUCCCUGUCGUCCAAAGGUGACACGCCGAAAACCGUGCACGGGCGGGUCUUUGACCCGUAAAUUAAAGACCUGUCCCCUGACAUUGGGGUUCCAUAACAGGCCGGCAUAUACCUAAGGUCGGCAGAGACGGUGACGGAAUCCAACCAACAUUGCUUUUCCCAGCCUACAAGACGAAGACCAAGGUGAAGUACCUGAAGCAGACAUCAGUGAUACUCCAGAGAGAGUUUAGAGGGGACAUCUCUAACACAGUGGAGGGCCUGGUACGACUACCUGGAGUUGGACCCAAGAUGGCUCACCUGGCACCAGGUCUCUGGCAUAGGUGGGACCAAGAACCCAGAGGAGAGAAGCAAGGCCCUGGAAGACUGGUUACCAAGGGAUCUAUGGAGUGAGAUCAACUGGUCGCUGGUGGGGUUUGGUCAACAUGUGUGUCUACCUGUCAAUCCUCUCUGCUCCGUGUGUCUGAACAAGCACAGCUGCCCCUCCGCCCACCAAGCCUCCCCAGCCAAGAGGCCUAAAGCUGGGUCACCUCGCUCACCACACUCCCCCAAGACCUCCAGGGUCAAGCUGGAACCUGGUUCUCUUUGUUUGGGGUUACCACCCCCUUCCUCCUCCUCCUCAGCCACACCUGUCAAAGAGGAACCUCUGGCUACCGCCCUCUCCCCUCCUCUGCUGCCCAGAAAAAGGAAGUCCAAAGCCAAAACCUUCUCUACAUGAUACGACAGAAGGGACUAGAAUCCCUAUAGAGAUAUAGGGUCCUUCCUCCCAAAGUGUGCACUUGUCACUUCCCUGACUGAUUUGAAAUGAGCGGUACUAGAAAUAUGGUGGUAACUCCUACUAGCCCAGUGGUAUUAACUUCUUUAGCGGGGAGACCAUUUUCAGACCAAAUUUCUGUGGACCCCAUUUAUUUUGCUAGAAUUUCACAACCCCACCCCAAAAAAAACCUUCAAAUCGUUACAUUCAGAUCAACUAAUGACCAAUUCAUUAUAUUUUCAUAUUUAUCAAACUGAAAACCAAUAAAUAAAAGUACUCAAUAAAAUUGUAUUUUUCAAAUGAU